UACGUAGGGUGCAAGCGUUGUCCGGAAUUAUUGGGCGUAAAGAGCUCGUAGGCGGUCUGUUGCGUCGGCUGUGAAAACCCGAGGCUCAACCUCGGGCCUGCAGCCGAUACGGGCAGACUAGAGUUCGGCAGGGGAGACUGGAAUUCCUGGUGUAGCGGUGAAAUGCGCAGAUAUCAGGAGGGAACACCGGUGGGCGAAGGCGGGUCUCUGGGCCGUAAC
rnacentral:rRNA from 1 species